GGAUAAACCAAAUUCUAUCCUUUCUAAGUUAGCAAAUCCAAUUCACCAGAGUAUUGUUGUUUUAUGACACAUUCAUGAAAAAGAUUGGUAGAAGCUACUAUGCAUUCUAGAAUUUAAGGCUUCGGAAUGUAGCAUGUGUAGGUAUCAGGCCAAUAAUUUUAUACUGCAGAAAAGAGUGGUAAUUAAGCAGGAAUCUCCAGAAAUGGACUUUACACUAAACACCUUAGCCAGCUUCCAGAACAGUGCCUAACGUUUAGGUUCAACUCUAGUGUAUGAAAUAUUUGUGCAGCAUUCUGCCAUUAAUAUAACUUUUGAAGAUUUCUAUCUUAUUCAUGGACCACUUCCUACUGUCCUCUUGAUAUUCUACAUCCAUCAGGAUGAAUGAUAAACGUAUCCAACUGAACAUAUGUGAAGAUGACAGUGAGCUGCAUUGAAUUAAUCCACACUGGAUUAAGAAAACAUAUAUUUUAUUAUUAAUCUUGGACCAGUGAAUUCCAACUUUCUUAGCAUACCUGGUCACCAUUAAUACUGGACAUGGUCUGAUAAGAGAAAAAAAUGCCGCAAACAAGGAGAACAGGAAAGUGGAAGGUUAAAGAUGAAUGCAAGUGGGGACUUGUUCAAUACAAAUGCAUGUUGUGAAUUCCCUUUUUUAUAUGUUUCAAUCAGGCAAUUAAAAAAAGGAUUUAAAAUCUUUAUUCCAGUCCUACUUCAAAAUUUCUAAACCUUUCUCU